ACUCAAUUCCGAAUUACACACAUUUUCAAAACACCAAUAAAAAUAGUGACCCAAAAAGAUGUUACACUCCUUAAAGAUGUAAAACCGGUAAGUGAAUAUAUGUGAAGCUGCUUCACUUGUGGAAGCAAAACACGAGUUACAGAGGGGAGACACUUGACUGCACUCUUGGAUGACCAAAGAGUAAGUUACUUCUCCAUAUAUAAACUAAUUAUUUUCUUACACAAACAGCUAUUAUUGAAAAGUCAAUAAAUUCGAUUUCACAAUAGUAAAUAAAUUAUGUUGUUUGUCUAAGACAUAUUUUGAAUCAUUGCAGGCUUAAUCUUACGCAAGGCAGUGGAUCCUACUUUUGGAACUCUGAAGACAGAUGCUUAUGUGGACCACUUAUUGUCUACAGUAUCAUUUAGUUUUCGUUUUGGACAUGUAAAAUUUCGAUCUCAACAUCCCCUAUCAUUAGAAAAAUAUGUUGGUCCAUCUAAUUAUAUAAUAAGUUUUUUAUUAAACUAACAAUAAAUUCAUCAUUAAUGUAUUUUAUUAUUUCUUUAAAUAAAAUUUACGG
rnacentral:lncRNA from 1 species